rnacentral:rRNA from 1 species
UGGGGAAUUUUGCACAAUGGGGGAAACCCUGAUGCAGCGACGCCGCGUGAUUUAGAAGGCCUUCGGGUUGUAAAAAUCUUUUCUAUGGGAAGAAAAUGACAGUACCAUAGGAAUAAGGACCGGCUAAUUACGUGCCAGCAGCCGCGGUAAUACGUAAGGUCCGAGCGUUGUCCGGAAUCAUUGGGCGUAAAGGGUACGUAGGCUUGUAAGCAAGUUAGAAGUGAAAUCCUAUAGCUCAACUAUAGUAAGCUUUUAAAACUGCUCAUCUUGAGGUAUGGAAGGGAAAGUGGAAUUCCUAGUGUAGCGGUGAAAUGCGCAGAUAUUAGGAGGAAUACCGGUGGCGAAGGCGACUUUCUGGCCAUAACCUGACGCUGAGGUACGAAAGCGUGGGUAGCAAACAGG